CAGACUGUUCACCAAAAGAGCGGGAAGCCCACUGUAACCAAAUCUGUCCCAGGAUCUAUCGGCCCAUUUGUGGAUCUGAUGGACACACGUAUGUGAAUGACUGCCUCCUGAGAGUACACAAUUGCCUGAAUGACGAAAGCGUGGUAAUUGCGUACGAUGGACCGUGUGUCGUCCCCAGCAGCACUGUCCCGCCAGACAUGAGCGUCGGAUAAAUGUUUUGAAAAAUUCUGUGUGAUAUUAUAACACUGUUGCAAUAAAGCUAGCCAGCAACAU